rnacentral:rRNA from 1 species
CACAUGCAAGUCUCGAACACGGAUAACAAGGAACGACAGCGUUGCUGCUUUGCUGACGAGUGGCAGGACGUGGAUGAGUAAUGAGUCUGGAGACAAACUGCCUGAUGGAGGGAGGAUUAACUGAGCUGAGAUAGAGCAUCGGGUUAGCUUAAUUACCGAUCAUAUACGUCGGCAAGGNACCGAAAGAGAGAGAGAGNGACCUUUUCGGAUGCUCUUCUUGCCAUACGCGCUAUGAUGCCCAAGUAAUGGGAAUUUAGCUAAGUAAGGUGGGGCUAAACGAGGCCUCACCNUAAGAUGUCGAACGCACUUCCGCGUUAGUACCUGGAUACGUAAGAAA